rnacentral:rRNA from 1 species
GACGAACGCUGGCGGCGUGCCUAAUACAUGCAAGUAGAACGCUGAAGGAGGAGCUUGCUUCUCUGGAUGAGUUGCGAACGGGUGAGUAACGCGUAGGUAACCUGCCUGGUAGCGGGGGAUAACUAUUGGAAACGAUAGCUAAUACCGCAUAAGAGUAGAUGUUGCAUGACAUUUGCUUAAAAGGUGCAAUUGCAUCACUACCAGAUGGACCUGCGUUGUAUUAGCUAGUUGGUGGGGUAACGGCUCACCAAGGCGACGAUACAUAGCCGACCUGAGAGGGUGAGCGGCCACACUGGGACUGAGACACGGCCCAGACUCCUACGGGAGGCAGCAGUAGGGAAUCUUCGGCAAUGGACGGAAGUCUGACCGAGCAACGCCGCGUGAGGGAAGAAGGUUUUCGGAUCGUAAAGCUCUGUUGUAAGAGAAGAACGAGGGUGAGAGUGGAAAGUUCACACUGUGACGGUAUCUUACCAGAAAGGGACGGCUAACUACGUG